UACCUGGUUGAUCCUGCCAGUAGUCAUAUGCUUGUCUCAAAGAUUAAGCCAUGCAAGUCUAAGUACGAGCUCUCGUACAGUGAAACUGCGAAUGGCUCAUUAAAUCAGUUAUGGUUCAUUUGAUCGUACAGUUUACUUGGAUAACUGUGGUAAUUCUAGAGCUAAUACAUGCGAGAAGCGCCGACCUCGCGGGAGGCGUGCAUUUAUCAGACCAAAAACCGGCCGCGUCUUCGGGCGCGUUCGCCUUGGUGACUCUGGAUAACUUUGCGGAUCGCACGGUCUAGCACCGGCGACGGAUCAUUCAAGUGUCUGCCCUAUCAACUUUCGUCGGUACGGUAUUUGCCUACCGAGGUUCUUACGGGUGACGGGGAAUCAGGGUUCGAUUCCGGAGAGGGAGCCUGAGAAACGGCUACCACAUCCAAGGAAGGCAGCAGGCGCGCAAAUUACCCAUUCCCGACGCGGGGAGGUAGUGACGAAAAAUAACAAUGCAGGACUCGUUCGAGGCCCUGUAAUUGGAAUGAGUACACUUUAAAAGCUUUAACGAGUAUCCAUUGGAGGGCAAGUCUGGUGCCAGCAGCCGCGGUAAUUCCAGCUCCAAAAGUAUAUAUUUAAGUUGUUGCGGUUAAAAAGCUCGUAGUUGGAUUUUGGGCG
rfam:Ciona savignyi cont_50039, whole genome shotgun sequence.